GAUGAACGCUGGCGGCGUGCCUAAUACAUGCAAGUCGAGCGAACGGACGAGAAGCUUGCUUCUCUGAUGUUAGCGGCGGACGGGUGAGUAACACGUGGAUAACCUACCUAUAAGACUGGGAUAACUUCGGGAAACCGGAGCUAAUACCGGAUAAUAUUUUGAACCGCAUGGUUCAAAAGUGAAAGACGGUCUUGCUGUCACUUAUAGAUGGAUCCGCGCUGCAUUAGCUAGUUGGUAAGGUAACGGCUUACCAAGGCAACGAUGCAUAGCCGACCUGAGGGGUGAUCGGCCACACUGGAACUGAGACACGGUCCAGACUCCUACGGGAGGCAGCAGUAGGGAAUCUUCCGCAAUGGGCGAAAGCCUGACGGAGCAACGCCGCGUGAGUGAUGAAGGUCUUCGGAUCGUAAAACUCUGUUAUUAGGGAAGAACAUAUGUGUAAGUAACUGUGCACAUCUUGACGGUACCUAAUCAGAAAGCCACGGCUAACUACGUG
rnacentral:rRNA from 1 species